UAGGGAAUCUUCCGCAAUGGACGCAAGUCUGACGGAGCAACGCCGCGUGAGUGAAGAAGGAUUUCGGUUCGUAAAACUCUGUUGUUAGAGAAGAACAGCGCAUAGAGUAACUGUUAUGCGUGUGACGGUAUCUAACCAGAAAGCCACGGCUAACUACGUGCCAGCAGCCGCGGUAAUACGUAGGUGGCAAGCGUUGUCCGGAUUUAUUGGGCGUAAAGCGAGCGCAGGCGGUCAAUUAAGUCUGAUGUGAAAGCCCCCGGCUCAACCGGGGAGGGUCAUUGGAAACUGGUUGACUUGAGUGCAGAAGAGGAGAGUGGAAUUCCAUGUGUAACGGUGAAAUGCGUAGAUAUAUGGAGGUAAACCAGUGGCGAAGGCGACUCUCUGGUCUGUAACUGACGCUGAGGCUCGAAAGCGUGGGUAGCAAACAGG
rnacentral:rRNA from 1 species